rnacentral:rRNA from 1 species
AUGAACGCUGGCGGCGUGCCUAAUCCCUGCAAGUCGAGCGAACAGAUGAGGAGCUUGCUCCUCUGACGUUAGCGGCGGACGGGUGAGUAACACGUGGAUAACCUACCUAUAAGACUGGGAUAACUUCGGGAAACCGGAGCUAAUACCGGAUAAUAUAUUUAACCGCAUGGUUCAAUAGUGAAAGACGGUUUUGCUGUCACUUAUAGAUGGAUCCGCGCCGCAUUAGCUAGUUGGUAAGGUAACGGCUUACCAAGGCAACGAUGCGUAGCCGACCUGAGAGGGUGAUCGGCCACACUGGAACUGAGACACGGUCCAGACUCCUACGGGAGGCAGCAGUAGGGAAUCUUCCGCAAUGGGCGAAAGCCUGACGGAGCAACGCCGCGUGAGUGAUGAAGGUCUUCGGAUCGUAAAACUCUGUUAUUAGGGAAGAACAAAUGUGUAAGUAACUAUGCACGUCUUGACGGUACCUAAUCAGAAAGCCACGGCUAACUACGUG